rnacentral:rRNA from 1 species
AUACGGAGGAUGCGAGCGUUAUCCGGAUUUAUUGGGUUUAAAGGGAGCGUAGGUGGGAUAUUAAGUCAGCUGUGAAAGUUUGGGGCUCAACCUUAAAAUUGCAGUUGAUACUGGUUUCCUUGAGUACGGUACAGGUGGGCGGAAUUCGUGGUGUAGCGGUGAAAUGCUUAGAUAUCACGAAGAACUCCGAUCGCGAAGGCAGCUCACCGGGCCGGAACUGACACUGAUGCUCGAAAGUGCGGGUAUCAAACAGGAUUAGAUACCCUGGUAGUCCGCACAGUAAACGAUGAAUACUCGCUGUUUGCGAUACACUGUAAGCGGCCAAGCGAAAGCGUUAAGUCAUCCACCUGGGGAGUACGACCGCAAGGUUGAAACUCAAAGGAAUUGACGGGG